AUUGAACGCUGGCGGCAUGCCUUACACAUGCAAGUCGAACGGCAGCACGGGAGCAAUCCUGGUGGCGAGUGGCGAACGGGUGAGUAAUAUAUCGGAACGUGCCCAGUCGUGGGGGAUAACGUAGCGAAAGCUACGCUAAUACCGCAUACGAUCUACGGAUGAAAGCGGGGGAUCGCAAGACCUCGCGCGAUUGGAGCGGCCGAUAUCAGAUUAGCUAGUUGGUGAGGUAAAGGCUCACCAAGGCGACGAUCUGUAGCGGGUCUGAGAGGAUGAUCCGCCACACUGGAACUGAGACACGGUCCAGACUCCUACGGGAGGCAGCAGUGGGGAAUUUUGGACAAUGGGGGCAACCCUGAUCCAGCCAUGCCGCGUGAGUGAAGAAGGCCUUCGGGUUGUAAAGCUCUUUCGGCCGGGAAAAAUACGCAUCAGUUAAUACCUGGUGUGGAUGAUGGUACCGGAAUAAGAAGCACCGGCUAACUACGUGCC
rnacentral:rRNA from 1 species